CCCCACCCCCAGCUAUUUGCUCCUCCCCCACACCUUUCCUUUGGGGGAGACCCGAUUUCAUGGCGUGUUUUUCAUGGCUGUGAAUUUGGUACGCCCCUAAACAUAAGGCAGCUAGAGUGCACUAGGUAGUUAACCCAGAUUUGCAGCUACUUUGCAUUUCCAGAACAGUACAAAGCAGCCAAAAAGUGUACUAGUGAAUCUGCCCCUUAAUUUGCAAGUGACUUAUUGGUUUAGAGGGCUAUAUUACAAAGACUGGCACUAUAUGAAAGGACGGACAGGAGAGCCCAGCCUGAGAGUCCCAAUGUCCCUGUACUUUUAAGAGCUUUGCCUAUGCUCCUGUCUCACUUCCCCAGCAGUGCUACUUCAGUGUGCAUCACAGCUGAGGCACUACCCUGUUUCCCCGAAAAUAAGACAGUGUCUUAUAUUAAUUUUUGCUCCCAAAGAUGCGCUAGGUCUUAUUUUCAGGGGAUGUCUUAUUUUUCAGAAAUGAAAAAUGCCUUAUUAUCGGUGGAUGCCUUAUUAUCGGGGAGGUCUUAUUAUCGGGGGGAUGCCUUAUAUUACAACGAGAGGCAAAACUUAUGCUUUAGGGACUUGGAAGUAGACGUUAAUCAAACGGGGAUUACAUAUAUCUCAGUGAUGGCCCACUCAAGCAAGCAAGCAAGCGUUGUCACCCUGCCUUGGUUACCUAGUGAUGGAAAGCAAGGCUCAACUGUCUAGCCUUGCUCCAUUCCAAGACUUUCAAUGGAAAGCCAUCAGAGACAACUGCAAGUAAUCGAAACCACUUGGAGGUAAAAAAGGAACAAUACAACAAACAGAGAAUCACCCUGCCUAUGAAUAAAGACAAAAGACUUUCAACAUAAUGCAGUGAGGAAAGGCACUUUGGAUCCUUUUAUUGAGGAGACACCUUGAGGAGCAGGGGUGUUCUCAUGAAAAAUUGGAUCCUAGUUCCUGUGAAGGCAGCCAGCUCUGCAACAGACUGAACUUUGGGAGGAAAACCUAUUUUUAGAUAGGAAAGAUAAAUAUAAAGUGUUGACCCAGGUUUGAGUUUUAUUAUUUUGUUAUGUAUUGUAACUAUUUGUUUCCAUCACUGCCUCUUGUUUGUAGCAUAAUUCUCUCCUUUCUUUAAUAAAGCUCCUGUUUUAUUACGA